GAGAAUGGCGGGUCUUACCAUGACAGUCGAGCGGUAAGGCCCUUCGGGGUACACGAGCGGCGAACGGGUGAGUAACACGUGAGCAACCUGCCCCCGACUCCGGGAUAAGCGGUGGAAACGCCGUCUAAUACCGGAUACGACCGGCCACCUCAUGGCGGCCGGUGGAAAGUUUUUCGGUUGGGGAUGGGCUCGCGGCCUAUCAGCUUGUUGGUGGGGUAAAGGCCUACCAAGGCGAUUACGGGUAGCCGGCCUGAGAGGGCGACCGGCCACACUGGGACUGAGACACGGCCCAGACUCCUGCGGGAGGCAGCAGUGGGGAAUAUUGCGCAAUGGGCGAAAGCCUGACGCAGCGACGCCGCGUGGGGGAUGACGGCCUUCGGGUUGUAAACCUCUUUUACCACCAACGCAGGCUCCCAGUUCUCUGGGGGUUGACGGUAGGUGGGGAAUAAGGACCGGCUAACUACGUGCCAGCAGCCGCGGUAAUACGUAGGGUCCGAGCGUUGUCCGGAAUUAUUGGGCGUAAAGAGCUCGUAGGCGGCGUGUCGCGUCUGCUGUGAAAGACCGGGGCUUAACCCCGGUUCUGCAGUGGAUACGGGCAUGCUAGAGGUAGGUAGGGGAGACUGGAAUUCCUGGUGUAGCGGUGAAAUGCGCAGAUAUCAGGAGGAACACCGGUGGCGAAGGCGGGUCUCUGGGCCUUACCUGACGCUGAGGAGCGAAAGCAUGGGGAGCGAACAGGAUUAGAUACCCUGGUAGUCCAUGCCGUAAACGUUGGGCGCUAGGUGUGGGGACUUUCCACGGUUUCCGCGCCGUAGCUAACGCAUUAAGCGCCCCGCCUGGGGAGUACGGCCGCAAGGCUAAAACUCAAAGGAAUUGACGGGGGCCCGCACAAGCGGCGGAGCAUGUUGCUUAAUUCGACGCAACGCGAAGAACCUUACCAAGGUUUGACAUCACCCGUGGACCUGCAGAGAUGUGGGGUCAUUUAGUUGGUGGGUGACAGGGU
rnacentral:rRNA from 1 species